rnacentral:tRNA from 1 species
GGCGAGGUAGCUCAAUUGGUAGAGCAGUAAAAGAUUGUAAGUCAUGUUUGUGACUUCUACAGCAAUCGUUCUUUCCAUUACAAGGUACGUGUUGGUGGUUCGAGUCCACCCCUUGCCA